rnacentral:rRNA from 1 species
GUGAGGAAUAUUGGACAAUGGGCGCAAGCCUGAUCCAGCCAUGCCGCGUGCAGGAAGACGCAUCUAUGGUGUGUAAACUGCUUUUGUACGGGAAGAAACACUCCCUCGUGAGGGAGCUUGACGGUACCGUAAGAAUAAGGAUCGGCUAACUCCGUGCCAGCAGCCGCGGUAAUACGGAGGAUCCAAGCGUUAUCCGGAAUCAUUGGGUUGAAAGGGUCCGUAGGCGGUUUAAUAAGUCAGUGGUGAAAGCCCAUCGCUCAACGAUGGAACGGCCAUUGAUACUGUUAGACUUGAAUUACAAGGAAGUAACUAGAAUAUGUAGUGUAGCGGUGAAAUGCUUAGAUAUUACAUGGAAUACCAAUUGCGAAGGCAGGUUACUACUUGUGGAUUGACGCUGAUGGACGAAAGCGUGGGGAGCGAACAGGAUUAGAAACCCUGGUAGUCC